AUCAUGUGGACCUCCCUUGUGCUUCUGGGGUUUUUGGUUGUCCGUUGCACGUCUGGCGCCUCUUAUACCGCAGUGCCAUCUGACACCCUGCCACUCGAUCCUGGGGUAACGCCAGCACCCAGCCUCGAUCUCUCCUACUGCCAGAUGCUUCUGGAGGCUCCAGUGCCACCUACUGCUGACCAGGUGCCCUGGUUCUGCAUGUGCUCCACCUGUCCCAACAACGCAGGACAGAAGGGAGAACAAGGAGACCCUGGACUGAGAGGACCUCCAGGUCGCACUGGCCCAAGGGGGCUAACAGGACCCCGUGGCCCACCAGGACACAUCGGUCAGCAGGGGAUAAAGGGUACGAGUUUAACAAAGAAUCUCCAUUCAGAACGUUGUGUAGUUCUAGUCUCAACAUAGGCUCACACCGAGAGACUUUAGUCUCAACUCAGGCUCUGAAAGUAUUUAUGUGGUCCAUAGUAUGUUGUCUAGAUCUUGUAUGACUGAUGAUUAAACUGAUUUACACACACAGGUGAGAAAGGUGACGAUGGAGUGAAAGGAGAUCCAGGUGUAGCGGGACCCACUGGUGCUAAGGGACAGAUUGGAAUGAAAGGUAAAUUAGAAACAAUAAAUCU
rnacentral:lncRNA from 1 species